rnacentral:rRNA from 1 species
UACGGGGGGGGCAAGCGUUGUUCGGAAUUACUGGGCGUAAAGGGCUCGUAGGCGGCCAACUAAGUCGGAUGUGAAAUCCCCAGGCUUAACCUGGGAACUGCAUCCGAUACUGGAUGGCUUGAAUCCGGGAGAGGGAUGCAGAAUUCCAGGUGUAGCGGUGAAAUGCGUAGAUAUCUGGAGGAACACCGGUGGCGAAGGCGGCAUCCUGGACCAACACUGACGCUGAGGAGCGAAAGCCAGGGGAGCAAACGGG